CCUGUUCCUAAACAAAUGCAGCCAGGCAAACAGAGAGCCUGGCUGCUUAAUGCAAACAGCGCUGCUCUGGUAUUGUAGGGGGCAGUGGAGGAGCAACAGAGGAGCUGCAGAUAUUCAAAGAUGCUACUGCCUGAGAACUUCAGUUUAAAAGAAGCAUUAAGGAACCUACAAAUUAACUCAUGUGCCAACAAGUAUAGAAUUCCCAGUCUUCUUCCUCUGGAGGUUGAGUGCAACACUGAUGCUGAGUCUAGCUGCCAAAAGGAGAAAUGAUUGGAAACACAGGAUGCCUGCAUCUGAAAGCUAUUGUUCCUCAUCAGAAUUUUUCUGAAGGUACUGAACUCCAAGGAAUCCAGCAUUUCUUCAUUAUAAGAAGCUGACAAAGUUGAAAACAGACAAAAACUAUCAACAUUAUAUAGUCAAGGGACAGCUCUAAAAUCUGCUUUCAGGAUCAUUAGUAAUGAGAGAAAAAGGCCUUUGAAAAUUCACAGAGUGCUUUUCCUUUUACC